GUAGCCAGGCAGACUCCCAGGCCCUGAGGACGGGGUCCACCCUUCUGAGCCGGCUCAGCCGUCGGCACACAGGGACCAUACAGCCUUGGUUUCCGCCAGGGCAAGGCAGUAGCCACCCCACACAGGGCCUCACUUGCCUGGCUCCACAGUGGUGUCCCAGGUUCUUCCUGCCUUGGCUACAAAGAAACCCCCUGUGGACACGAUGGCAGGCCCAGCCAAGGGCCAGAGGACCCCCUGCCGCCUUGCAGCCCAGCUCUGGGAGCCCCCGAGCCCGGGUCGUGGCUGCUUCCCAGUGGCUCACGGUGCCAGGCUGUCGAUGCUCCUACGUCUCCGCUCUUAGGACCGGGCUGGGCUGUGGCGGAGGAGGGGAGGCCGGGCUGCUGGCUCAAGGAGACUGGGCAGAGGUGUCACCCCGAGCAAAUGCAUGAACUCAGGUGCACACACGCCCUCCACUGCCCUGCCUGGGUUUCCUUCUCCAGUGAGACUAUCAGCAUUUUUUCUUCUACUUUGUGUCUUUAAUAAAGCCCAGGUGCACAAGGUCGGGGAGCCAGGCACCCAUCUCAUCGUUGCUGGCUGCGAUCCUGGCGGGCCCAGGGCACGGCUCGCCGUAACUGCUCAUCAGUCAUUCAUGCCUGUGCAUUCGGGUGAUAGCUGUUAGCCUCUACCUGCCAAGCAUUAGCCAAGUGUCAGGCAAACCGAAACCGACGUCACCCUGGUGUCUUUAAAAGAAAGAAACUCUCACUUCUGUGUGGGGCACAGAUCAGAAGAAGGGGAGGUUGGAACUGGUCAGGAGGGCCCUCGGCCUGGCGACCACAGUUAGGGCCUGCAUUGCGAUGAAGCGGCUGCAGCUGCCCCUGAAAUUCCAGCAUCCUGAAGAUCACCGACCGCUGGCAGUCACUGCCGGUCCCCACACCUGCCGGGAAGCUGCAGAAGAUAGCCCAAGUGCUUCGGGCCCCACACCCACAUGGGAGAUCUUGAUGGCAUUCCAGGCCUUGGACUGGCCCAGCCCUGACCUUCGUGGCCUUUUGGGGAGUGAACCAGUAGAAGGAAGAGCUCUCUAACUCCACCUUUCACAUAAAUAAAAUACAUCUUUAGAAGAUGCCUAUAGCUACCCCUUAACAUUAUCACGUUGUGUUCAGUGUUUACAUUUUCUGUGCUAGUAACUUGCCUGAUGCCUUUCCCACGGGAGCAGCGAGCCAGCCAUGUGGCCGCUCUUCAUGGGGCUCUGCUCGGUGGAGUUACUGCUCUCAGCUGCACCACCAUGGCUCUGGGAAACUUGUGCCCACUGUCCGGGUCAGAGGCAGAGAUUUUGGAAGCCACGUGAUGGCCCCAAUGAUCUCUUGGAGUCACCAGGGCCAUCUUCCCCUUUUCUUGGUGCACAGCUCAGGUUCCUAGUGGUAAACUCCCAGGAGCCCAGCAGUCUCCAUCCCUUCGGUCCAAACUGGCAGUCUGCUCUUUAGGACAGAAGGUGAGGUCAAGGGGCACACCUGUGCCGAUGUCCUUGCCACACGGUUGAGGCUGGUGAGGGCAGGUGCAGAGCCAUCCCAUGUUGAGGCAGGAAGCAGAGGCAGAGAACUAGGCUGACCUUGAACUCAGGUAGUGAGAACCACUCCCAAGGGGAAAACCCUCAGUGACCCAAGGGCCUCCCACUGGUCCCAUCUCGCAGUCCCCACAGCUGCCUCAAAUGUCUUCCCUCAAUCCAUCUACUGUUAACAUUAAGACAUCAGGGUUUAAACAUGCUGCGUGAGUUUUGGGGAGACGAGUCGUGCACAACCCACAGCAGCAGUCCCUUCAAGGCAGACCCUGGCUGUUUCUAGUGUGCUGGCCAAAAUGUCUCCAGCCUCGUCUCAUUAUCAGACCCCACAGCUGCAUCUGACGGGGACUCCAGGGCCCGGAAGGGAAAGAAGGGAGUACGCCCACAGGAAGUGCUCCCCCAGGGAUGGGGAAGAUGCUGUACGGUCUGCAGAGUUCUGUGCAAAACGGGCUGCUCCACUGUCAGACCCCUGAUUGGUUCACACAGACUACCUCGUUAGCAUACACCUCAACCAAUCGGGUGUAGCAUACAGAAAUCUGAGCCAGGCCGUCUUGAGGAUCGGUUCAGGGCAAGCAGCAAUUUUGGGUUGGGCGCCCCCUUGUGGGGGGGCAGUGCCCUGGGGCAGCCCUCCCAGCUGCCAGGGGGACUUUCUCUGUCCUUUUCAGUAAUCGUGGUCGUGAGACAAAGAACCUGGCAGGGCAGGGGAUCUGUCACCCAGAAAGCUAUAGCACUGGACGAACGCCCAGAGAGGCGAAGCGGUGACCAGGCGGGAGAGGACGGAGAGGCUGUCGCACACACAAAGCUGCAACACGGGAGCCUUGCUGCUCCGGAAGAUUCCGGAGAGAAGCAUCUGCACGUCUCUCCCGGUGGGAUGCAGACCCGAGCGGCUCGAGCUGCAGUCUCCCCUGCCGCUGCUGGAGCGCCCCCGGCAGAACCGCCGCCUGCUCACAUCUUCGAGUAAUCCUCACCGCAGCACCACACUCCUCAGUGCCAGUGUCCACGUCAGCUACGACGCGCACAGUUGUCUUACAAGCCGGAGGCUGGGAAGUCCCUGAUGCAGGUGCCAGCAGGUGCAGUGUCUGGUGCAGGCUGACUUGGCGGGGUGUGGACAGCUCUCCUCUCCCUGUGUCCAUACAUGCUGGACAGAGAGUCUCUCUCAAGCCUCCUAAGACAGGCAGCAAUCCUAUUUAUGAUGGCUCCACCCUCAUAGCUGAGUCAUUUCCGGAAAGAUCCACCUGCUGAGCCGUCAUGGCUGGGGAUUAGAGCUCCAACACGUGCACCUCGUAGGGACGCAGACAUUUAACUGAGGGCAUGGACUAAGGUUACGAUUCUCUGGCUUUAUGGUCAUUCUAUUGUUGUGUACCUCGCAGUCAUGUACUACGACUAGCAUUGCAGAUGCAAGCUUUUCCCAAAGCUGGCUCAGACGAUUCUGAACCGCGGUCUAAAAACCUAUGGAGAUGAGCAGGUGUUUGCAUAGACCUAAUAUCUGCAGGUGUGUGUGUGUGUGUGUGUGUGUGGAGAGAGAGAGAGAGAGAGAGACCCCCAUCCCAUCCCCAGGCAUAAGCUUAGGCCCGGCAUUUGCCAACAUGCAGAGUGUCAGAAUUUCUGUGAUUUCUGACUGCUGCUGUAGCUGAAGCAGGGUCAGGUCAGGUGGCCUCGGCUCACUUUCCUGGGGCACAGCCGGUUUCGAUGCUGCCGUGAGAUUCCUUUCCCCGGCCUCGUUUCCCCGGCGUUCUGAUGCGGGCAUGAAAAACUGCCUUCUUCAACUCAAGUUGCCGCCCGAUUUUGCCCACGUGUGUUUCUGUCUCUCCCGUGGAAUUUUACCGAUAGGAAUCUAUUUCUGUGAACCAUCCCCCACCCACCCACCCGCCCUGGGCUCUUGUUUGCUGAGGAUUUCAGCCCUCGGACGGAGGAGGUAGCCAGACAAACAGGGCUUGUGGCUCCGAGCCCCAUUGUGGCCAUCUCAAGGGCGUGGGCUGUGCAGCGAGCGGCAGCUGUCCAGAGUGCAGUGUUGGGUUUGGAUGGAUCCUGGCUCUGACCAGGUAUCCGGCAGGGAGCUAACGGAUACAGUGUGUUCCUACUUUCUUUGAAGACGAUAAAGCAGCUUUAUUUCACGGGGCUUAAAAAUGCAGCAGAUCUGGUCGCACCAGCUAAGUGAAAUUUUAAAUGGGAGUUCUGAGGCCCUGAGAGUCACUUUUCAGAUUCAGGCUUUGUGUUAAUGUCUCUGCCAGGGAGGGGCUAGAAGGGGGUGCAGGCCAGGGGGGCUGCCCAAGGUCUCCGUUGCUUCACAGUGGGCAAGAUGGCACCAGGCGUGUUCUGACGUAGCCUGCAGGCCGGAGGCAUCCGGGCUCCGUCCAGUGAGUCCCCCCUUUUGUGCCGUGCUGUGUCCCGACCCUGGAGACCCCAGGUAAGGACACUGUGCACUGGAGAGCCCCCGGGGGACUGCUUCAUUUCUUUCAUGUCGCGUGUUGGUUUUGAAAUGAAGGGCUUACAAAUGGCGGGUCUGAUUCCUGGAUAUGCUGUGAGGUUUGGGAUAAACCAACUGGGCUGGCAGACCCGCGCCAGCCCCAGACGCAUCCCCGAGUCCCACUGUGUGUGCCGCAGACAGCAGCCUGGUGUCUCAUGGGUCUUUGACCAGAGGCUAUGAAGAAAACCCAAGUUAUUUCAAAAAUGUGUUUGCUUUAGAGAAAUGUGUUUGUGGAUGUGUGUUUUGAAAACAUUCCUGGGGAUGCUGGGGAAGACAUUGGCCACCAAGGCGGCAGCCGUGUCCCCGCCCGGGAGCUUUAGCAGGGUCUGCCUCCACCGAAGGCGUCGCUGCCUCCAGCCGGAUCGGCGGCUGGGUCAGAGAGAGGCAAGGCGGACUUGUCCCGGGGCCUCAAGCUGUUCUCAGCAUCUCACCUGCCAGGUGCUGGGAGAAACACCACCCGGGGUUUUGCGAUAGGCAAUUGUAAAGUACCCAACCCGACUCUCCCGGGAGCUGUCCAGGGAAGGCCCGGCCCGGUUUGUCUGCUCUGCCACUGGCACGCCUGUACUCACCUUCUCGGCACGAAGGCGUCUCCAGAGAGGACGGGGGAGCGAGUGGACGUUUGAAGAGCAGGCAUCGCUUCAGAGUUCUGGUCAAACUCUGGCACUGGAAUGGAGAGAGAAGAGCAGGUGCGAAACCUCCAGCCCCAGAAUGGCUCUGCAGGAGCACCUGUGCCCUGUGGCCUCGCCUGGCCACGCCCACCUGUCCGUCUCUUCCACUCCUGCCUAGACCCUCUGUGUCUCGAUGCCUGUAAAGACCAAAAGGACAACUAAUGUGUCUGGAAUCAGAGCUGUGACUCUGGGAUUGGCAACAUCAGAGAAGUCAGCUCAUUCAACCCCCCGGCUACUCUGAGGCUGCCUGCCCCAUGGCCCACCUGUGUUCUACAGCACAGGUGCGUGGGUCCAACCUCAGUCUGGAGACGAUGCGUAGGGACUGUGCCCUGUGCAAAGAAAGCCACUUUCUUCCCUGUGGGGCUACGGUCAGAGCUCCUCGGGCCUUUGAAAGUCACUGGAACAGAGAAAUGGGAAGAGUGAGCCUGGACCCCACACCUGUGUGGGUGCGUCCUGCCUUGGCCGGAGCUCAGCUGGUGCGGUGCUGACUUUGUUCAUCUUGGCCUCCAGCGAGCUGCCGUGCGGGAGGUGAGGUUGCGGGUCCUGGGAGACUGAGGGCCUCGGGCAACCUUGGCAUUUGACGGCCUGUGGUCAUGAGCGCUCGCUCUAGAACAGGGCACUCAGCCGGCCAGCGGGGAAGAAAAGACCCCUGAAGGGCAGUCAUUUGUCGACAAAGCCCCUCUGGGAGCGGCUCCUGGAGUCGUGUGGGCCUCCCCGUGAAGGACUCGGGAGCUCCGGAGAGCAGCUGUGUGGCAUCCUUAGGCGCCAGGAGGAAACAGCCUGAGAACGGGAGCUGGAGUGGGCGGUGCUUGGGAAGGCCGUCCUCAAACGGGGUGGGAUGGAGAACGCUGAUUGACAGCAGGUGCCCUGGUAAGGAGGCUUCUGGGUACCGUAGAUUUAUGAUAGUUAAGCCAGUGAACUGUUUGCAUCAGGAUAAACACAGAUCUUUGGACCACAGUAGAGAGUUUAGAGACAGAGCCAUUUGUAUUUGGGCAUUAAUUAGUAAAAAAAAAGACGCGAGGGAAUUUGGUGGAGAAAGGACCAAUUUGUUCAGCGGCUCUUAAUUGAAUCGUUGGUUGCCUAUGUGCAAAACACAGUGAUCCUUGGCUCUCAGAUUAAAUAAAAAACUACUUCAAAAUGGAAAACUGCCCCGAGAGUAUGAGCUGAACUACACAGCAUCCGGAAGGAGGCACCACAGAAGACUUUUUUUUUUUUUUUUUUUACUUUGGCUUAGACAAGGAUUUCACAGUUUAGACACAAGAAUGCUGAGACCACACACACACAAAAUGAAAGGUAAAUCAUUCUCUAUAAAAGCUAAAGCUAUCUAUUCCUACAUAGGUGUUGUCAAGAAAAUGCAAAAAGCAAGGAAUAACUUGGGAGAAAAUACAUACGAAGCCGAUAGCUAAUAAAGCGCUUACGAGAGGCGCCGCAGAGAACGCUAGCGCUCAGCAAUACGAAGAGAAGCAGUCGCGUGUGGAGGGAGGCAGUGGUUUCGAACACGUUCCCCAAGCAGAUGCGGAGCUGGUGAGUAAGCACACGGACAGAGGAGCCGCGUGGUUAGCCUCAGGAAAGGGCAAGGCCACGCCCCGGUGAAGUGAGACGCCACCGUGCAUGCCCUAGAGCGGGUGAAAUGAAAACGAGCGACCCCAGCGCGGAGGGGGCCGGGGACGCAGCAGCUGAAAGUCCCAUCCGUGAGCGGUGGGAGUGCAAAUGGCACCGCGUGCUGACCAAUGGAAACACAAGCGUGUGCUCACACAGGCCUGCACUCGAACGUGCAGAACAGCCUGCAGCUGCACACAACCCGGUUGCUCAUCGACUCGAGGAUGGAUAAACACCCGGCCGUGUGACCCACAGAAGGGCUGACACGGAGGCGGGAACUCCCGCAAUGUGCAGCAGCAGGCGGGAUUCGAAAAGCAUCACGCUAAGUGAGCGGGCGUGGACACGGGCGUGGACACGGGCGUGGACACGGGCGUGGACACGGCGCGUUUGUAAUGCGUUUGAAAUCCCACUAAAACAGCAUCACAGCGACAGCAGACGGGUGGUUUUUAAGGGCCAGGGGCGGCGCUGGGGUUCAAAUGCGACAAUGGGACCUCCCUGGCUGUGGUCACUCAACGGUGCAGGUGCACACUUGUCAGAACCUGUUGAAAUACACACUCAAAACCGGCCAUUCACGCAGAUUUAAAAAGGUGAACAGGUUAACCGGCACCAGAGUUACAGGAGAGCCAGGAGUGUGCAUGGUAAAGGCAUCGCUUGGGACGUGUGCUUCCUGUAAGGGUGGAAGGGCGAGACAGAGAGGAGACGGACCACGGACCCCCAGCCAGACAGCUUUACUGAGAGGGAGCCACUGCCGGCGAGGGUGGGAGCGCUGCUGUCAGACUAGGUGUCCGGACAGCCUGGGUGGGCGGGCACUUGGCUGAGGCAGGGGGGAGCUGGCUGAGGAAGAGCGCAGGGGGUGGGCAGAGCGGAGGCUGGGGCUGCGCUCAGUCACUUGGGCAAGGGACCGAAAAGUGGGGGCAGCUUCAGAUCACCUCCCGUUCUGGCUCGCAUGCUGCGGCACCACCCAGUCCCUGCUCUGUUCCGGAUUCCAGCUUCGGGAUCAGCCGCGUGCUGGGAGUAGCAGGUGAUGGCUCAGGGGGUCCGGGAUCUGACGCCCCUAUGGGGACCCUGGGCUGAGUAGCCAGCUCCUGCUUUUGGUCUGGGCCAGCCCCACCCAGAUGCUGUGGGCUUUGGGGGCGUGAACUAGUGGGUGGGAGAUCUCUCUCUCUCUCUCUCUCUCUCUCUUUCUCUCUCUCUCUCUCUUCUCCUGCUUUUGGUCUGGGCCAGCCCCACCCAGAUGCUGUGGGCUUUGGGGGCGUGAACUAGUGGGUGGGAGAUCUCUCUCUCUCUCUCUCUCUCUCUCUUUCUCUCUCUCUCUC